UCUGAAUCUGCGUACGGCUCCGCACACCAGUUGUAAACCAAAGCAAGCAAGCCUGACCCCGAGGCCUUCACAGGUCAAAGGGCCAGGUUACAAGGAUAACCCUGGUAAUUCUGAGGCUAAUACGUGACACGAACCUGUCGACUGGGGGCUUGCCCCUGGGAAGCGGGGGAUGUGCGACUAUCGGGCCAAAAACAACCGGAAAGAGCGCACGUUCAGACCACUCCAAAAAAGGUCUGCAGGAUCCCUCACGGGGUUUUGUGGAUCUUGUGGCUCUUGCACUGUGCUUCUGACCUAUCAACUAGACGGCAGCUUAAGGGACAUGCUUUGGU
rnacentral:rRNA from 1 species